rnacentral:tRNA from 1 species
GGUUCUGUGGUGAGUGGUAGGCCUAAUUCCGCAAGAGUUAGUAGGUUGGUUCGAAUCCAACCAGAACCUCCA